CAGCACCUCAAGUGGUCAGGAUGAUUAUUGGGCCUAAAGCAUCCGUAGCCGGCGCUGUAAGUUUUCGGUUAAAUCUGUACGCUCAACGUACAGGCUGCCGGGAAUACUGCAGCGCUAGGGAGUGGGAGAGGUAGACGGUACUCGGUAGGAAGGGGUAAAAUCCUUUGAUCUAUUGAUGACCACCUGUGGCGAAGGCGGUCUACCAGAACACGUCCGACGGUGAGGGAUGAAAGCUGGGGGAGCAAACCGGAUUAGAGACCCGAGUAGUCC
rnacentral:rRNA from 1 species